UUGAAGUCCUACAACAUGAUAUUUUAUGUUGAAAUAAAUUCCUAUUUGAUUUUUUGCAUUAACUGGAGGCUGGAUUUUAAAAUUCUAUGUUUUUUCCCCUUUUAUUGUCUCAAAAACUAUUCUAAGAUUGGGAACAUUUUGCAGGUGCAUCUUGUCCAGUGGUGAAAUUUCCAUUGAUUUAUUUCGUGUUUUUACCUAAAAUUGGAAGGAGUAGCAAGAAUGUACAUUGCAAUUUCCCAAAAGAAACAUCGUAAAGUAAAGGAAGUUGGAAAAUUUGAAAUGACUGUUGGAACUAUUGCUUUCUACCAAUUGAUGCAAGUUUGUCAGGUGAGUGUGCUUCUUGUUUGCAGUAAUUAUGUUGUACAAGUAGCUUGCUUUAAUCUUCAGUCUGAUAUCUAAUAUAUGAUGCACCGACACGAUACGUGUCGGAUAUGUCGAUUCGUCAUUUUUCAAAAAAGUACCGACACGACACGUCGUCAUCACGUUGAUUAAAUUCUUUAAAAAUUUUCAUUUAUAUAGUAUAAAUUUAAUUUUAUACUUAUUAUUGAUUUUUCUUGUUGAAAUCUUUUAAAUAUGAGUGUUUAUUUGUUAUUUACUAAUAAUUUUGAGUUAAAAAUAUAUAAUAGCUACAGUAAGAAAGAAAAAUGAUUAUUGUAAAGUGUCCGAAAAGUGUCGGUAUCGACACGUGUCGGACACAAAUACGCUACUCUAGUUAGAGUAUUCGUGCUAUAGAGUAUCUAAUUAAUAUCAAUAAUGCUGAACUUAUCUCAAUUCAUUUUGCCCCUUUUAUUUAUUUAUUUAUUUAUUUAUUUAUUUAUUUUUAACUCAGAUUCUUUCUUCUAUAAAUUUGGAAAUUUGAUUUAUUUUCUUUUUUCAUAAGCUAUAUUAUAUCAGAUUUUGUGGACGGAUUCAUGGGGCAGUGUGUAUCUCUCUUAUUUGGCUGUUUUAGUUUCAAGUUAAUAGUGGUUAGCUAGUUCAUUGACUUAUUUUGCUUUACAGGCUGAAUAUUUCCGUCAGUUGCUUAAACCUGUUACGUAGUCCUGUACGGUGAUAAGCUUGUAAGACUGGGAUUGGUAGCCUUUUCCUUUCUCUGUGUUGAAAUUUUUUGAAGUGGCAUUGUAUACGCCUUAGGUGUACCACAAACGUCUUUUUUGUUAGUUUAUUCCCCUAAAACUUUUGGCAAUUUGAAAUCGAAGAGAACCCUUUUGAAAGCUGCAGAUUUGUGUAUCAGUGAAGUUGUUUACUGUUCCAAAUGCAUAGUGACCGAAAAUAUUUCCCUCAAAAUCCUGUCCUUCCUCAUCCCAAUCAAGUGGGCAGUUACUACAUGAGCAAAGCUCCUAUUCAAUCCAUUUUUGGUGGAACAGUUCUGCCCUCGGGUAUAAAACCUUCUAGGCUGUUCCAUGGUGUUGACUUUCUGACCUCUGAUGCAUGCCCGAGGAAUUUCGUAAUCUUUGACAAAACAAAAAAUAGAAGCCAAAUCAUGUUCCAUCCCGAGAUUGGUUCUAAGUUUCCUCAUCCUGAUUUUGGUGUUGGCAUGUCUAACUGCCUAGACAAUAUUGGUUGGAAGGACAAGAAGGAAGACAGAGAAAGAACUUCUUUCACAGAAGAUUCAUAUGAUAUUGAUGCUCUAUUGAGCACAGAAUAUGAACAUGAGGAGUAUGAUGGAGAUAAGCUGAGCACAGGACGAACCGAUGCAAACUAUGGAAGCGAAUCCUCAGAUUCAUGUUCUAAUUACGAAUCUCCGUCUAGAAAGAGGAGGUCACCUCCUUCCAAGAAGUCUUCUAAGGACAAGAAACGCCAGAAAAUGAGGAAAAUGGUGAAGGCAUUAAGAGGUAUUGUUCCGGGUGCCAACCAGAUGAGUACUGUAGCUGUUCUUGAUGAN
rnacentral:lncRNA from 1 species